rnacentral:rRNA from 1 species
UACGUAGGGACCAAGCGUUGUUCGGAUUUACUGGGCGUAAAGGGCGCGUAGGCGGCAUGACAAGUCACUUGUGAAAUCUCUGGGCUUAACUCAGAACGGCCAAGUGAUACUGUCGCGCUAGAGUGCAGAAAGGGCAAUCGGAAUUCUUGGUGUAGCGGUGAAAUGCGUAGAUAUCAAGAGGAACACCUGAGGCGAAGGCGGGUUGCUAGGCUGACACUGACGCUGAAGCGCGAAAGCGUGGGGAGCAAACAGG